AGAGAGAGAGAGAGAGAGAGAGAAUGUGUGCACGCAGAUAUAAGAAGUUGGGGUUGAUGAUCCACAUGAUGGUGAUGGACCAGGACAGCUCUGGACCUCCUGACUGGCAGCUCCAUCCUCAACCUCUCUUCCUGCCCUUCACACAUGUGCAGGCAGGCAGUUUUCUGAAAGAUGGUUGAUGUCAGUACCAACAUGUUGUGAUGGAGGCUUCCACCUGAGCUGAACACAGAAACUUGCACACAGUGAUGGAAGCAGUCGUUCCUGUUCAGCAUCGAUAUGCCAGUAAUGGGUUUGAUGAGCCACAGCAUGGUGAUGGGCAAUCAGCAUCAGGACCAGGGCAGGUCACAAGGAGAACCUCCUGCCCUGCCUCGUCAUCCUCAACCUCCCAUCUCCCUGCUCUUCACACAUGUGCAGGCACGGAGCCAGUUUUCAGAGGGAGGGCUGAUGACACCAGCAACUUUGGUUCUGAACCUGAUCAACCCAGCACCAACCACUGUGCCGCUCCUCCUCUGCCAACUGCACCACAUGGCUCCAACUGCACCACAUGGCUCCACCUGCACCACAUGGCUCCACCAUCUUAAAAAGGCACAGACACUACUCCACUUCCUGCAAAGGAUGAGAGAAGAGCCGAUCGCCCCACAUCGGCACUCACCACCUUCUACAGGGGUGUCAUUGAGAGCAUCCUGACCAGCAGCCUCUCUGUCUGGCAUGGCAGCCGUCAAGCUGAAGACUAGAAGGCAGUACAGAGAGUGUGGUGAGAACGGCAGAAAAGCUCAUAAGAUCACCCCUACCAGCCAUUCAGGAUCUGUACACUUCACACUGUUCCAAGAGGGCAAUGAACAUCAUAAAGACACAACUCAUCCAGCAUACAGACUGUUCUCUCUACUACCAUCAGGGAAGCGCAUGUGGUGCCGCACAAGCACACUGGGAAACAGCUUCUUUCCACAAGCCAUCAGACUCCUCAACGCACUGAAGAAAACCACAUGAAUAUUCCAAGGACACUGGAGAAUAUUCCAUGAACACUUCUUUCACCAUGCCACGUACACUUUACUCAUUGCACCUUAUAUACAGCAUCUUCACAUCA